CAGACAAGAAGAAACACCAGGGAGGAGCCUUUUCAUGAAUCUGAGUUGGGAUCCUGGGAAAUCAGCCACAGCCACCUUACCUCUGGACACAUGGAUAUUUUAUUUCUUGAAGAGUGCUUCUAAAAGGGUGAAGAGACACCCUAAAUUCUCCUCCUUCAUCACCUUCCUGUUGAAAAAAAUUAGAUCCGAGCAAGCUGCUUUAUUUUCUCCAGUAAUAAUUUGUAGCAAUACUUAGAACUUUCAAAAUAUGCUUUUAAGGUGUCACUUUUGCUGCAGCCCCUUUUGAUUCACUCUCAGCUAUAUUUACUGGCUCCUUCAGUGCCCAAGAAAUGUUGCCUUCCCUGUUAAUUGUGUUAUUGAGUAUUACCCUGUACACUUACUGGCAUCUUAAGCAUAACAGCACUAUAUCAUACAGUCAGCUAGACUUAUUGUACUAAUGAAAAAUACACUGAAGUUGUGGUGUGCUUCAGAUCCUUUAGCAACAAGAGACAUUGCAUUCAGAACAUGAAAAUUAAUAUCCAUAUUAAUAUUGGCCGCAUACUUUUAUACCCCAUGUUGUUCAGGUGUUAAUACUUAAUAAUUAAUUUUAAUAAUGUAUUCUCUGCAUAUCCUAUUGAUGUGGGUUUUACAGUGCUGGUAAAUUUGAUAUUUGGACUCUGAUUACGUUUUGCAGUCAUUCUUAGUCUAAAGAGUUGGUUUGAAGAAUUCAAAUUUCUGUUUAUUUACUGCUCUUUUUGUAGAAAUUCACCCAUAGUACUUUUCAUUGUAGUGACAUCUAUUAUGUAGAGUUCUAAAGUACUAGUGCUAAGAUACAAUCUUUAUAAUACAUAAAUAUGAUUUUGCUAUGUCAUGGAACUGCAUAGAAACUUAUUUAAUAAAAUAAUCAGUUGAGUUCUAGCUACUGGAUUGAAAAGCUGGAUAUUAGUUAAAAGACAAUAAGCCAUAUAAAAAUAAUGCUUUGUUGGACAGGAACGACUAAUUGUACUGUAAGACAAAUAAAUUUAAAUGCAUUG